CCUACGGGAGGCAGCAGUGGGGAAUCUUGUGCAAUGGACGAAAGCCUGACACAGCCACGCCGCGUGCGGGAAGAAGGCCUUCGGGUUGUAAACCGCUUUCAGCAGGAACGAAAAUGACGGUACCUGCAGAAGAAGAUGCGGCCAACUACGUGCCAGCAGCCGCGGUGAUACGUAGGCAUCAAGCGUUGUCCGGAUUUAUUGGGCGUAAAGAGCUCGUAGGCGGUUCAGCAAGUCGGGUGUGAAAACUCUGGGCUUAACCCAGAGCCUGCACUCGAAACUGCUGUGACUAGAGUUCGGUAGGGGAGCAGGGAAUUCCUAGUGUAGCGGUGAAAUGCGCAGAUAUUAGGAGGAACACCAAUGGCGAAGGCAUUGCUCUGGGCCGAUACUGACGCUGAGGAGCGAGAGCGUGGGUAGCAAACAGGAUUAGAUACCCUGGUAGUCCACGCCGUAAACGAUGGGCACUAGGUGUGGGUCUCUAACCAACGAGAUCUGCGCCGUCGCUAACGCAUUAAGUGCCCCGCCUCGGGGAGUACGGUCGCAAGACUAAAACUCAAAUGAAUUGACGG
rnacentral:rRNA from 1 species